rnacentral:rRNA from 1 species
GAUGAACGCUGGCGGCGUGCCUAAUACAUGCAAGUCGAGCGAACAGACGAGGAGCUUGCUCCUCUGACGUUAGCGGCGGACGGGUGAGUAACACGUGGAUAACCUACCUAUAAGACUGGGAUAACUUCGGGAAACCGGAGCUAAUACCGGAUAAUAUAUUGAACCGCAUGGUUCAAUAGUGAAAGACGGUUUUGCUGUCACUUAUAGAUGGAUCCGCGCCGCAUUAGCUAGUUGGUAAGGUAACGGCUUACCAAGGCAACGAUGCGUAGCCGACCUGAGAGGGUGAUCAGCCACACUGGAACUGAGACACGGUCCAGACUCCUACGGGAGGCAGCAGUAGGGAAUCUUCCGCAAUGGGCGAAAGCCUGACGGAGCAACGCCGCGUGAGUGAUGAAGGUCUUCGGAUCGUAAAACUCUGUUAUUAGGGAAGAACAAAUGUGUAAGUAACUAUGCACGUCUUGACGGUACCUAAUCAGAGAGCCACGGCUAACUACGUG